rnacentral:rRNA from 1 species
AUGGAGGCGACUGCCCUGAGUGUUGGCAAGUCCGUGCUGAGUGGAGCGCUUAGCUAUGCCAAAUCUGCUCUGGCGGAGGAGGUCGCUUUGCAGCUCGGCGUCCGGCGUGACCAGGUCUUCAUCACCAACGAGCUCGAGAUAAUGCAGGCUUUCCUUAUGGCCGCGCAUGAUGAACGAGACGACAACAUGGUGGUCAAGGUAUGGGUGAAGCAAGUUCGCGAUGUGGCAUACGACGUCGAAGACACCCUCCAAGAAUUUGCCGUCCGUUUGGAGAAGAAGUCAUGGUGGCAUUUCGGUCGCACACUGCAAGAUCGACACCAUGUGGCCAAGCAGAUGAAGGAGCUUAGAGCCAAUGUUGAGGAAGUCAGCCAUAGGAACAUGCGCUAUCAACUCAUCAAAGGCUCUAGCUCCAAGCCUGCUAACAUCAGUAGGCAAUCUGUUACCGGAACAACCAUGUCUGGCAUCGAGGAAGCAAGGCGACAGGAGGACAGAGCAAAGUUUGAUCUCAUUCAAAUUGUCAGCAAGAAGGAGGAGGCCGACCUUAGAGUGAUCGCAGUGUGGGGGAAGAGUAUGGCUGAACUUGGAGAGUUGUCCAUCCUCAAAAGGGUCUAUGAAGAUCCAAAGAUACGCAAGAUGUUCGAGUGCCGAGCCUGGAUCACUCCGUCGCUGCAUCCUAUAAAUUUAUCUGAGUUCCUGAAAACUGUAGUUGGACAAUUCUACAUCAAUUUUCUCCAAGAGGCGAAGGAAGAAGAAAAGGCAACUCUUGGAGCUGAAGUUCCCAAGAUUAUGGGAAUGACAAAGAAAGAUGAUUUAGCUCAGGAGUUCAAAAAAUUUCUGAAGGAAAGGAGUUACUUGGUUGUGCUAAAUGGCAUAAUUGCCAUUGAAGACUGGGAUCUCAUCAAAACUUGCUUCCCAGACAACAAGAAGGGAAGUCGAAUCAUAGUGUCCACAGAGCAAGUUGGAGUUGCUAGCUUAUGCGUAGGAGCAGAGAAUGGAGCACCGGAGCAUAAGCAAUUAUUUGCUGAUCAGACGCUUCAUGUUUUCUGCAGAAAGGGUUCUCAACAUGGAAUGAAUUCGGCGGUGGCUACGUCUGGCACAAACAUAGUCACCACUGGUGUUAACAACUAUCCGAAGAAGAACAUCCUCACUCGUCUUGAUACGUUGGUGAUGGCUACUUUGGAGGAAUCUCGGCUUAUCGGUAGAGGGAGUGAAAAAAAUGAAAUCAUCAAAUUAGUUUCAGAUAAAGAUGUGCACCAAUUUCGUGUGGUCUCUUUGUGGGGCAUGGGUGGUAUUGGAAAAACCACACUAGUCAGAGAUAUCUACCAAAGUGAAGAGAUAAGUGGCACAUUUGAGGGGCGUGCUUGUGUCACUGUCAUGCGUCCUUUCAAUUGUGACGAACUCCUCAAGAAUUUAACUACGCAGUUCCGACAUAAGGAUCCAAUAACGGAUAUAACCGUAUAUUUAAGAGAAAAGAGAUAUUUGCUUGUUCUUGAUGAUGUAUCGUCCACGUCAGAGUGGGAUGCUAUAAUAAAAUAUUUGCCCAAAGCAAAAACAAGCUGCAUCAUAGUCACCACAAGGGAAGAGAAUAUUGCCAAGCACUGUUCUGAUGAUGAAAGAAGCAUGUACAAGCUCAAAAAUAUGAAUCAUGAAGAUGCACUUAUCCUCUUCACAAAAAAGGUGUUUAAGGAGACCUUAGAUUUGGAGAAGCAAUAUCCUGAGCUGGUUGAACAAGCAGAGAUGAUCCUGAGGAAGUGCAAUGGGCUCCCCCUUGCAAUAGUCACUAUAGGUGGUUUCUUGGCAAACCAACCAAAAAGCGCAUUGGAAUGGAGGAAACUGAAUGAGAAUAUUAGUGCUGAGUUGGAGUUGAAUCCAGAGCUUGAGACCAUAAGAAGCAUCCUUAUGAGAAGCUAUGAUGGUUUACCCUAUCACCUCAAGUCCUGUUUCCUGUAUAUGCCCAUCUUUCCUGAAGACCAAAGUGUUGGGCGGGGACGCUUGGUGCGUAGGUGGGCCGCGGAGGGUUAUUCUAGAGAGGUUCGAGGCAAGUCUAUGGAGGAAAUAGCAGAUGGUUACUUCAUGGAACUUCUUAGCAGGAGUAUGCUCCUACCAUCUCAAGAAUCAAUCCAUAGUACAAAAGGUAUUGAGUCCUGCCAAGUUCAUGAUCUCAUGCGUGACAUCGGCAUCUCAAAGUCGAUGGAAGAAAAUCUUGUUUUUACAGUGGAGAAAGGUUGUAGCUCAAAUAGCCAAGCCACGAUGCGCCACCUUGCUAUAAGCAAUAACUGGGAGGGGGAUCAGUAUGAGUUCGAGAGCAUGGUUGAUCUGUCUCGUGUUCGAUCAAUAACAUGUUUUGGAGAGUGGAAGCCAUUUUUCAUUUCUGAGACGGUUACGCUGCUGCGGGUGCUGGAUCUAGAAAACACAACAGGUCUUACUGAUGAUCACCUGAAGCACAUUUGGAAGCUUCUUCAUCUAAGAUAUCUUUCUCUAAGAGGAUGCCAUCACAUUUGUCACCUUCCAGAUUCAUUGGGUAACUUGAGAGAACUCCAAACGCUAGAUGUCAGAGGUACGAGAAUAAACAAGCUGCCAAAGAGUAUCAUAAAUCUUCAGAAGCUGAACAAUCUUUGUGCUGGUAUGAAAAUGAUGGAUGAGGACAUCUCAUAUGAAGAAUCUAAAGGGGAAGGGGCAAUGAGCUACAGAUUAUGCAUUGUGCCUGCUGCUGGGAUGCGCCCGGACAAGUAUGGUGUUCUAGUGCCAAAAGGGAUGAGUAAACUCAAAGGACUGCGCACAUUGGGUAUUGUGAACAUCGCACGAGAGGGGAAGGACAUUCUGCAUGACAUGAAAAGACUCACUUGGUUGCACAAGUUGGGAGUGACCGGCGUAAAUAAGGAAAAUGGACAAGAGCUCUAUUCAGCAAUUGUUGGUAUGAGACGCCUCGAGUCAUUGUCAAUUCGGUCCGAAGGGGAGCCAGGUUUAUCUGGCUGCUUGGAUGGAGACUACUCAUCAGCGGCGAGCCUGCUGAGGCUCAAGCUGUACGGAAACCUGGUCAAACUGCCGAAAUGGAUCCAGGAGCUGAACAAUGUGGUGAAGCUGAAGCUGCGGAGCUCUCGGAUAUCAACGCACGACGACGCGAUGCAAGUCCUUGGGAAUCUACCAAACCUGGCAUCCCUGCAUCUGUUGGAGAAGUCAUUCCAGCUGGGUAAUUUUUGUCUCAGUUUCCAUUCAGGGACGUUCCCGAGCCUGGUGGUGCUAGAAGUUGGGCUCCGGAUCGACUUCAUGGGUGACGUGCGAUCAUUGAAGUUUAAGCAAGGAACGGCCCCUAAGCUUGAGCUGCUCAAGUUUUGUACUUCGAUCAACGACAGCGAGUCGAUUCUGGGGCUACCUUCUCUCGCAAGCCUCAAGGAUGUUGUGCUGGAAAAUUUCUGCGAUGGCUUCGAACUGGCGUACAUGAGGACCGAGCUUGCCAGGAAUCCAAACCGACCCGUCCUCAAGAUGCUCUGA